rnacentral:rRNA from 1 species
AAAUUGAAGAGUUUGAUCAUGGCUCAGAUUGAACGCUGGCGGCAGGCCUAACACAUGCAAGUCGAGCGGUAGCACAGAGAGCUUGCUCUCGGGUGACGAGCGGCGGACGGGUGAGUAAUGUCUGGGAAACUGCCUGAUGGAGGGGGAUAACUACUGGAAACGGUAGCUAAUACCGCAUAAUGUCGCAAGACCAAAGUGGGGGACCUUCGGGCCUCAUGCCAUCAGAUGUGCCCAGAUGGGAUUAGCUAGUAGGUGGGGUAACGGCUCACCUAGGCGACGAUCCCUAGCUGGUCUGAGAGGAUGACCAGCCACACUGGAACUGAGACACGGUCCAGACUCCUACGGGAGGCAGCAGUGGGGAAUAUUGCACAAUGGGCGCAAGCCUGAUGCAGCCAUGCCGCGUGUGUGAAGAAGGCCUUCGGGUUGUAAAGCACUUUCAGCGGGGAGGAAGGCGUUAAGGUUAAUAACCUUGGCGAUUGACGUUACCCGCAGAAGAAGCACCGGCUAACUCCGUGCCAGCAGCCGCGGUAAUACGGAGGGUGCAAGCGUUAAUCGGAAUUACUGGGCGUAAAGCGCACGCAGGCGGUCUGUCAAGUCGGAUGUGAAAUCCCCGGGCUCAACCUGGGAACUGCAUUCGAAACUGGCAGGCUAGAGUCUUGUAGAGGGGGGUAGAAUUCCAGGUGUAGCGGUGAAAUGCGUAGAGAUCUGGAGGAAUACCGGUGGCGAAGGCGGCCCCCUGGACAAAGACUGACGCUCAGGUGCGAAAGCGUGGGGAGCAAACAGGAUUAGAUACCCUGGUAGUCCACGCCGUAAACGAUGUCGAUUUGGAGGUUGUGCCCUUGAGGCGUGGCUUCCGGAGCUAACGCGUUAAAUCGACCGCCUGGGGAGUACGGCCGCAAGGUUAAAACUCAAAUGAAUUGACGGGGGCCCGCACAAGCGGUGGAGCAUGUGGUUUAAUUCGAUGCAACGCGAAGAACCUUACCUGGUCUUGACAUCCACAGAACUUAGCAGAGAUGCUUUGGUGCCUUCGGGAACUGUGAGACAGGUGCUGCAUGGCUGUCGUCAGCUCGUGUUGUGAAAUGUUGGGUUAAGUCCCGCAACGAGCGCAACCCUUAUCCUUUGUUGCCAGCGGUUCGGCCGGGAACUCAAAGGAGACUGCCAGUGAUAAACUGGAGGAAGGUGGGGAUGACGUCAAGUCAUCAUGGCCCUUACGACCAGGGCUACACACGCUACAAUGGCAUAUACAAAGAGAAGCGACCUCGCGAGAGCAAGCGGACCUCAUAAAGUAUGUCGUAGUCCGGAUUGAGUCUGCAACUCGACUCCAUGAAGUCGGAAUCGCUAGUAAUCGUAGAUCAGAAUGCUACGGUGAAUACGUUCCCGGGCCUUGUACACACCGCCCGUCACACCAUGGGAGUGGGUUGCAAAAGAAGUAGGUAGCUUAACCUUCGGGAGGGCGCUUACCACUUUGUGAUUCAUGACUGGGGUGAAGUCGUAACAAGGUAACCGUAGGGGAACCUGCGGUUGGAUCACCUCCUUACCUUAAAGAA